UUUUAUGGAGAGUUUGAUCCUGGCUCAGAGUGAACGCUGGCGGCGUGCCUAAUACAUGCAAGUCGAACGAUGAAGCUUCUAGCUUGCUAGAAGUGGAUUAGUGGCGCACGGGUGAGUAAUGCAUAGAUAACAUGCCUCAUAGUCUGGGAUAGCCACUGGAAACGGUGAUUAAUACUGGAUA
rnacentral:rRNA from 1 species